GGAAGUUGUGACACCAAGAGGAGAUGGAAAUCCUGACCUAAAGUGCUGCUCAGUCAGUGGAAACUAGCGUGCAUGCAGUCCACAAGGACAAGCUAGAACCGUGAGAAGCAGCCCCCAGGGUCUGGGACAUGUAGAGAGGCUCCGGGACAUGUAGAGAGGCUCCUCCCUCCCCGCUGGGCUCACACAGGGUGCUCCUUGGUGUUGUCCUCUCUGCAGAUGUGAUUUUAAUGAUGGCAGCCUUUCUUCUAGAGUGAGAGAAAACUCCUGAGAGCGUUUCCUUUCAGAGGGACGAGAAGCACACAUGUGAAUGCAUGAAGAGAAAGAGCAGGGACUACUUAAAAAUGAAAAUGUACCAGUACACUAGAAAAAAGAAAAAAUGAACCUGCAGACUCUGCACUUCACUGCAAGAUGACCCCCAUCUUAUAGAAGGCAAAGCUGGAGAAAGCAGUCCUGAAAGUGAUGCAACAGGACAGAAUGAGGAUAAUUCUUUCCUAGAAGGGAAUUUAACCCAUACUACAAGAGAUACAUCUUCUUACAAGUGGGUGAGUUUUCUCGCCUACAUGUUCCCCAGUGGUGUGGAGCGUGCGGGCUUAAAACCUGUGGCUGUCUAGCGACAUAGUGGUUUAAUUUUACCUCCU
rnacentral:lncRNA from 1 species